GCAAACUUGGUCAUUUAGAGGAAGUAAAAGUCGUAACAAGGUUUCCGUAGGUGAACCUGCGGAAGGAUCAUUCAUAAUGAUACUGAAAGUUUUUAGCGAGAGAGAGAUUCUUUUUCUUGCUAAAGACUUUUUUCAACUUUUGUGAACUGUGCCUUAUUGUACUGCUGUGUUGUCUUGUUUUUUUUUUAACGCUAGAAAUUGACCUCUUCCAAAGUGGGAGAGGAAAAAGUUUCUAAAAAAGUUUUUACAACUUUCAGCAAUGGAUCUCUAGGCUCUUGCAUCGAUGAAGAACGCAGC
rnacentral:misc_RNA from 1 species